AGUGCAUGUGGUGGAUGCCUUGGCAGUCAGAGGCGAUGAAAGACGUGAUAGCCUGCGAAAAGCUCCGGGGAGGCGGCAAAUAUCCUUUGAUCCGGAGAUGUCUGAAUGGGGGAACCCACCUACUUUAAGGUAGGUAUUGCAACAUGAAUACAUAGUGUUGCAAGGCGAACGAGGGGAAGUGAAACAUCUCAGUACCCUUAGGAAAAGAAAUCAAUUGAGAUUCCCUCAGUAGCGGCGAGCGAACGGGGAUCAGCCCAUUAAGUUAUGUGUGUUUUAGUGGAACGCUCUGGGAAGUGCGAACGUAGAGGGUGAUAUUCCCGUACACGAAAGGGCACACAUAAUGAUGACGAGUAGGGCGAGGCACGUGAAACCUUGUCUGAAUAUGGGGGGACCAUCCUCCAAGGCUAAAUACUCCUGACUGACCGAUAGUGAACCAGUACCGUGAGGGAAAGGCGAAAAGAACCCCUGUGAGGGGAGUGAAAUAGAUCCUGAAACCGCAUGCAUACAAGCAGUGGGAGCACCUUCGUGGUGUGACUGCGUACCUUUUGUAUAAUGGGUCAGCGACUUAUAUUCAGUAGCGAGGUUAACCGUAUAGGGGAGCCGUAGAGAAAUCGAGUCUUAAUAGGGCGUUUAGUUGCUGGGUAUAGACCCGAAACCAGGCGAUCUAUCCAUGAGCAGGUUGAAGGUUGGGUAACACUAACUGGAGGACCGAACCCACUGUCGUUGAAAAGCCAGGGGAUGACUUGUGGAUAGGGGUGAAAGGCUAAUCAAGCCUGGUGAUAGCUGGUUCUCCCCGAAAGCUAUUUAGGUAGCGCCUCGGACGAAUACCAUAGGGGGUAGAGCACUGUUUCGGCUAGGGGGUCAUCCCGACUUACCAAACCGAUGCAAACUCCGAAUACCUAUGAGUACUAUCCGGGAGACAGACUGCGGGUGCUAACGUCCGUAGUCAAGAGGAAAACAAUCCAGACCGCCAGCUAAGGCCCCAAAAUCAUAGUUAAGUGGGAAACGAUGUGGGAAGGCAUAGACAGCUAGGAGGUUGGCUUAGAAGCAGCCACCCUUUAAAGAAAGCGUAAUAGCUCACUAGUCGAGUCGGCCUGCGCGGAAGAUGUAACGGGGCUAAAACUAUGUGCCGAAGCUGCGGAUGUAUACUUUGUAUACGUGGUAGGGGAGCGUUCUGUAAGCCGAUGAAGGUGUGUUGAGAAGCAUGCUGGAGGUAUCAGAAGUGCGAAUGCUGACGUGAGUAACGACAAAACGGGUGAAAAACCCGUUCGCCGAAAGACCAAGGGUUCCAGUCCAACGUUAAUCGGGGCUGGGUGAGUCGACCCCUAAGGCGAGGCCGAAAGGCGUAGUCGAUGGGAAAAUGGUUAAUAUUCCAUUACUUCUGUGUAAUGCGAUGAGAGGACGGAGAAGGCUAAAUCAGCCUGGCGUUGGUUGUCCAGGUGAAAGGAUGUAGGCAUGUAUCUUAGGCAAAUCCGGGGUACUCUAUGCUGAGAUCUGAUAGCAAGCUGUACUUGUACAGCGAAGUGGUUGAUGCCAUGCUUCCAGGAAAAGUCUCUAAGCUUCAGUUACACAGGAAUCGUACCCGAAACCGACACAGGUGGUCAGGUCGAGUAGACCAAGGCGCUUGAGAGAACUCUGCUGAAGGAACUAGGCAAAAUGGUACCGUAACUUCGGGAGAAGGUACGCUGUUGUUGGUGAUGGAACUCGCUUCCUGAGCUGACGACAGCCGCAGAAACCAGGCCGCUGCAACUGUUUAUUAAAAACAUAGCACUCUGCAAACACGAAAGUGGACGUAUAGGGUGUGAUGCCUGCCCGGUGCUGGAAGGUUAAUUGAUGGGGUUAGCGUAAGCGAAGCUCUUGAUCGAAGCCCCAGUAAACGGCGGCCGUAACUAUAACGGUCCUAAGGUAGCGAAAUUCCUUGUCGGGUAAGUUCCGACCUGCACGAAUGGCAUAAUGAUGGCGGCGCUGUCUCCAGCAGAGGCUCAGUGAAAUCGAAAUCGCUGUGAAGAUGCAGUGUACCCGCGGCUAGACGGAAAGACCCCGUGAACCUUUACUGCAGCUUGACACUGAACUUUGACCUUACUUGUGUAGGAUAGGUGGGAGGCUUUGAAGCUGGAACGCUAGUUCCAGUGGAGCCGUCCUUGAAAUACCACCCUGGUAAUGUUGAGGUUCUAACUCUGUCCCGUGAUCCGGGACGAGGACCGUGUCUGGUGGGUAGUUUGACUGGGGCGGUCUCCUCCUAAAGAGUAACGGAGGAGUACGAAGGUGCGCUCAGCGUGGUCGGAAAUCACGCGUAGAGUAUAAAGGCAAAAGCGCGCUUAACUGCGAGACCCACAAGUCGAGCAGGUACGAAAGUAGGUCUUAGUGAUCCGGUGGUUCUGUAUGGAAGGGCCAUCGCUCAACGGAUAAAAGGUACUCUGGGGAUAACAGGCUGAUACCGCCCAAGAGUUCAUAUCGACGGCGGUGUUUGGCACCUCGAUGUCGGCUCAUCUCAUCCUGGGGCUGAAGCAGGUCCCAAGGGUAUGGCUGUUCGCCAUUUAAAGAGGUACGCGAGCUGGGUUUAGAACGUCGUGAGACAGUUCGGUCCCUAUCUACCGUGGGCGCUGGAAAUUUGAGAGGAUCUGCUCCUAGUACGAGAGGACCAGAGUGGACGAACCUCUGGUGUACCGGUUGUGACGCCAGUCGCAUCGCCGGGUAGCUAUGUUCGGAAGGGAUAACCGCUGAAAGCAUCUAAGCGGGAAGCCUACCUCAAGAUAAGAUUUCCCUAGGACUUUAUGUCCUCUAAAGAGCCGUUCGAGACUAGGACGUUGAUAGGUUGGAUGUGGAAGCAUAGUGAUAUGUGAAGCUGACCAAUACUAAUUGCUCGUGAGGCUUGACU
rnacentral:rRNA from 38 species